CUAACUGGAAAGUAUGGAGAAGACUCUAAGCUUAUCUAUGACCUAAAGGACCAGGGUGGGGAGUUGCUGUCCCUUCGUUAUGACCUCACUGUUCCUUUUGCUCGGUAUUUAGCAAUGAAUAAACUGACCAACAUUAAACGCUACCAUAUAGCAAAGGUGUAUCGGCGGGAUAAUCCAGCCAUGACCCGUGGCCAAUACCAGGAAUUCUACCAGUGUGAUUUUGACAUUGCUGGGCAAUUUGACCCUAUGGUCCCUGAUGCAGAGUGCUUGAAGAUCAUGUGUGAGAUCCUGAGUUCACUUCAGAUAGGAGACUUCCUGGUCAAGGUCAAUGACCGAUGCAUCCUAGAUGGCAUGUUCGCUAUUUGUGGUGUUCCAGAUAGCAAGUUCCGUACCAUCUGUUCCUCAGUGGACAAGCUGGACAAGGUAUCCUGGGAGGAUGUCAAGAAUGAGAUGGUGGGAGAGAAGGGCCUUGCACCUGAAGUGGCUGACCGCAUUGGAGACUAUGUCCAGCAACAUGGCGGUGUGUCUCUGGUGAAGCAACUGCUCCAGGAUCCUAAACUAUCCCAAAACAAGCAAGCCUUGGAAGGCCUGGGAGAUCUGAAGCUGCUGUUUGAGUAUCUGACAUUGUUUGGCAUUGCUGACAAGAUCUCUUUCGAUCUGAGCCUUGCUCGAGGUCUAGACUACUAUACAGGGGUGAUCUAUGAAACUGUGCUACUACAGAUCCCAGCCCAGGCAGGGGAAGAGCCCCUUGGUGUGGGCAGUGUGGCUGCUGGAGGGCGCUAUGAUGGGCUGGUGGGCAUGUUUGACCCCAAAGGGCGCAAGGGACCCUGUGUGGGGCUCAGCAUUGGAGUGGAGCGAAUCUUCUCCAUCGUGGAGCAGAGACUAGAGGCUUCAGAGGAGAAGGUACGGACCACAGAAACACAGGUGCUUGUGGCAUCUGCACAGAAGAAGCUAUUGGAAAAGAGACUGAAGCUUGUCUCAGAGCUGUGGGAUGCUGGUAUCAAGGCUGAGCUGCUCUACAAGAAGAACCCAAAGUUACUGAACCAGUUGCAGUACUGUGAGGAAGCAAGCAUCCCCCUGGUGACCAUAAUCGGUGAACAGGAGCUCAAGGAUGGGGUCGUCAAGCUGCGUUUGGUGGCCAGCAGGGAAGAGGUGGAUGUCCAAAGAGAAGACCUUGUGGAACAAAUUAAAAGAAGAACAAGCCAGCCUCUCUGCAUCUGCUGAGCCAAGCAAACUUAUCAGAGGAAGGUGGGACUGACACUAUUUGAGGCUAAAGCUGCAUUUGUGCUUAAACAGUUUUGCACACUUUUAUUCCCAAGAAGACCUGAAGAGUGGUCAGAACAGAGACUUUAUUUUUAUUAUGAUUGGCAGAUGACUGGAUACUACAUCACUUUCUACAGAGCGCCAUGGGGCGCCAUGGGGAAUUAAGCCAGACCACCUCAGGCCUGACAUGGGCUCCACAGGGCACCGUUCCAGAUGGAACUGAUGCCUUCCU